AAAGCGUGCGCAGGCGGUUAUAUAAGACAGAUGUGAAAUCCCCCGGGCUCAACCUGGGAACUGCAUUUGUGACUGUAUAGCUGGAGUGCGGCAGAGGGGGAUGAAUUCCGCGUGUAGCAGUGAAAUGCGUAGAUAUGCGGAGGAACACCGAUGGCGAAGGCAAUCCCCUGGGCCUGCACUGACGCUCAUGCACGAAAGCGUGGGGAGCAAACAGGAUUAGAUACCCUUGU
rnacentral:rRNA from 1 species